rnacentral:lncRNA from 1 species
UAUUUCACUUGCUUUGGCGAUGUAAACAUGGGUUUCCUCGGCCAAUAAAUCCCCUUUACAUUGAACUGAGUCUUGACAUCUGCAGUAGAAGGAGGAACUGGGAAAUGACUUUCUGAGUCAUACACUCCAAAUUAAGAGAAGAGGAAACGUCUGUGGGUGACCGUGUGUGUGUGUGUGUGUGUGUGUGUGUACUGUGUGUGUGUGUGUGUGUGUAGUGUGUGUGUGUGUGUGUGUGUGUGUGUGUGUGGGAGGUGACAGUUCGUAGUUUAAAUCUCCUCCUCAGUGUGUGUGUCUGUUAUAUGGUGUGUGUGUGUUAGAUAGGGCUGAUUUGCCUGGCUGAAGACACAAAGCAGGAUUAUAAAGCCACUAGGGUUAGAGUUAUGGGUAGAGCAGGGCCCACCAGACACAGUAUGGAGAGAGAGAUAGAGAGAGAGGUAGAGAGAGGGAAAGGUAGAGAGAGAGAGAGAGGUAGAGAGAGGGGGAGGUAGAGAGAGGGAGAGGUAGAGAGAGAGAGGUAGAGAGAGGGGGAGGUAGAGAGAGAGAGGUAGAGAGAGGUAGAGAGAGAGAUAGAGAGAGAGGUAGAGAGAGGGAGAGAGAGAGAGAGAGGUAGAGAGGUAGAGAGAGGGGGAGGUAGAGAGAGAGGUAGAGAGAGGUAGAGAGAGCGAGGUAGAGAGAGAGAGAGAGAGAGUUAGGGGUAGAGCAGGGCCCACCAGACACAGUAUGGAGAGAGAGAUAGAGAGAGAGAGAGGGAGAGGUAGAGAGAGGUAGAGAGAGAGGUAGAGAGAGAGAGGUAGAGGUAGAGAGAAAGGUAGAGAGAGAGAGAGAGAGAGAGAGAGAGGUAGAGAGAGUUAGGGGUAGAGCAGGGCCCACCAGACACAGUAUAGAGAGAGAGAGAGGUAGAGAGAGAGAGGUAGAGAGAGAGGUAGGUAGAGAGAGAGGUAGAGAGAGAGAGAGGGAGGUAGAGAGAGGUAGAGAGAGGGAGGUAGAGAGGUAGAGAGAGAGGUAGAGAGAGAGGUAGAGAGGUAGAGAGGGAGGUAGAGAGGUAGAGAGGUAGAGAGAGAGGUAGAGAGGUAGAGAGGUAGAGAGAGAGGUAGGGGUAGAGCAGGGCCCACCAGACACAGUAUGGAGAGUGGGAGGUAGAGAGAGAGAGGUAGAGAGAGAGGUAGGUAGAGAGAGAGGUAGAGAGAGGUAGAGAGAGAGAGGUAGAGAGAGAGGUAGGUAGAGAGAGAGGUAGAGAGAGAGAGGUAGAGAGAGAGGUAGGUAGAGAGAGAGGUAGAGAGAGAGAGAGAUAGAGAGAGGUAGAGAGAGAGAGGUAGAGAGAGUUAGGGGUAAAGAGAGAGGUAGAGAGAGAGGGAGGUAGAGAGAGAGAGAGAGAGAGAGGUAGAGAGAGGUAGAGAGAGGUAGAGAGAGAGAGGUAGAGAGAGGGAGGUAGAGAGAGGGAGGUAGAGAGAGAGAGGUAGAGAGAGGUAGAGAGAGAGAGAGAGGUAGAGAGAGAGAGAGAGAGAGAGAGAGAGAGAGAGAGAGAGAGAGAGAGAGAGAGAGAGAGAGAGAGAGAGAGAGAGAGAGAUGAGGACGAGAGACAGAGGGAGAGAGAGAUGAGGAAGAGAGACAGACAGAGAGACAGACAGAGGGAGAGACAGACAGAGGGAGAGAGACAGACAGAGAGACAGACAGAAGGAGAGAUGAGGAAGAGAGACAGACAGAGAGACAGACAGGGAGAGACAGACAGAGGGAGAGAUGAGGAAGAGAGACAGACAGAGAGACAGACAGAGGGAGAGAUGAGGGAGAGAGACAGACAGAGAGACAGACAGAAGGAGAGAUGAGGAAGAGAGACAGACAGAGAGACAGACAGAGGGAGAGAUGAGGGAGAGAGACAGACAGAGAGACAGACAGAGGGAGAGAUGAGGUAGAGAGACAGACAGAGAGACAGACAGAGGGAGAGAUGAGGUAGAGAGACAGACAGAGAGACAGACAGAGGGAGAGAUGAGGAAGAGAGACAGACAGAGAGACAGACAGAAGGAGAGAUGAGGAAGAGAGACAGACAGAGAGACAGACAGGGAGA